GAGUAGAGAGGACAGUCAAUGUCACUGUGUACUAUGCUCCGAAAGUUUCUGUGGUUCUGGUAUCAGGGGAAAAUGUCACAGAAGGAAACCCUUUACUGUUGGAAUGUCGUGCUGAAGCUGUUCCUCAAAACUACACAUACUCUGCCUGGAGUCGCACCAUUGGUGACCGUACCACUGGUAAAUAGCAGUCCUGGCAAAUCCCUGUCCAUCAGCCAAGUGACGUUCAGAGAUCAGGGGUGUAUACCAGUGUGGAGCCAGUAACUGGUUUGGAGGCGUUCAGUGGGGACAACUGGAGGUCAAGGUUCGAGCCCGACCACAGUUCCCCAGACAAAUCAACCAACAAGCAGCAGGCCUCGGUGAAAAUAUCAAACUGACGUUUAAGUUUGUGUCUUAUCCAGCCUAUGUGAACCUCGCGUGGUACAAACUGACCAAUGCAACAUCAGAAAGGCUAUCAGUAUCUAACACAACCGGGAGUAAAUACCGAAGUCCGCGUGACGGAUGCUAACCACGAGUUUCUGUUUGACAAAGCCGAAGUCCUCCUUUCUGGUCACGUGGCGGAACUAGAAAUCUCUGAUGUUAAACAUGAUGACUU